rnacentral:tRNA from 1 species
UGGAAUGUAGCUUAGUGGAUAGAGUGCAUGUCUAGCAUGUACAAAGCCCUGGGUUCGAUCCCCAGCACUGCAU